UUAUGAUGCAGUUAUGCGUGCUGUGUCCUUUAAGAGUUUGUGCACGCGCACGAUAGAGAGAGUGCGCGUCAGAGGGGAACAGAGAGCGCGCUGAUUGAAGCAGCAGGUAAAAGUGAGGAGAAAAUAGUUGAUAAGAAAUUGUUAAAUGGAUAUAAUCCAGGCUGAUUAUCAACUCGUGGACCUGUGGUGGUUUUAGUUGUGUGACUGCACCGAGUGGAUGACUUAAGUCAGUGUUUAUAUUAGUGUUUGUUGCCGCAUAUGAGAGAUCUCCGGUGGGGGAGGGGAUUCAGGCCUACUUCGACGGAGAUUGAGCAGGGGAGAACAAGCUGGUGAGAUCGCAUGUGCCAGUUUCCACGUGAUUGAUAAUCCGGAGUCUCAUAUAACAGAAAUGUUUGGUUACCUACAUUCUUCAAAAUAUCUUUUGCAAUCAACAGAAGGGUUGGAGUAACAUGAGGGUGAGUAAAUGAUGCUAAAAUUUUCCAUUUUAGGCUUAACUAUUUCUUUAACUCUGCAACACUGAUACUGAUUCAAUAAAUAUUGUGAAACGUCCUUUACAAAAAAGAUUACAUAAUAUAAUAUAAUAUAAUAUACAGUAAUAUAAUAUAAUAUAAUAUAAUGUAAUAUAAUAUAAUAUAAUAUAAAAAAUCAUAUACUAUUUGAUAAAAUUAUGAACCUACCCUUUUUUUUAGCACUGCAACAAAAAACAGGUGUGAUUUCUCACAAGACCUUUUUCUGUGACAGAUACCAGGAAAAUGAUAUGCAUGCUAUUCAGAAAAAAAAAAGUUUGAACGUUAUCAUCUGUUCUCUUAUUGCCUGAGCAGUGUGUCAUGAAUAAUUAAUUAUGAUAUGAUUGCAAGUUUGAACGAAAGAUCAUCACUUUCAAUUACGGAGUCCCUAUAAAUACCUCCUCCGCCCUCGGCAGAGGAGACACACAUAUUGCCAGCUAAGCUCUGCAAACAGUUGGUUGGAUGGGGAGAAUGAAGUACAAAGGGCAAAUCCUCUCAUUUUAUUCUCUCUCCUCCAGUCUCUAUUCACUGUCUGUUUGUCAGCACGGCAAUUAGGACCUGAGGUAACAAGAGCGAGUGUGAUGGUGUGACUCUUUGAGGUGAGACACUAAUGGACGUCCCACUGGGCCAAAGUGGUUCGGUGCCGUGAGGAGAAGGUGCCUGAGUAAUCGGCCCCGUCACGGCCUUGCCGAGAGCCUGGGGAGUGAAUCAGCACAGCUGGGAAGCAGACAUCAGUCUCACUAGGCCUUCGGGACGGGCCACUCCUCCUCCUCCAGGGAACUGUUCCCUCGUUUUUCAAAAGAGAUAUUGAGAAUGGGAAGGCGUUUCAGCUAGCACAUAAACACUUCCUUAAUUUGCUUGGUUAGUCCUUAAUAAUUUUUGUUUUGGAAGGAAGCAGAGUUCUUUAAUUUGUUUUUCUCAGUGCUAAAUUCCUCUUCAGUCUGUAAGAAAAUAAAGCGCUUCCUGAAAGUAAUGUAAAGGAUGUGGUUUUACGUACUAAUAUCUUCAUAAUUGCGUUAUUUUUUGUACUAAUACCAAACUUAUUUCCCUCUCGUCCCGGUAACAAAGGAAAAUUACUCCCCUUAGGAUUCCUGUUUGUUAAAAAUAACAUCUUCAGCUGCUGCAGAUUCAGGGGUCUGUGUCAUCAGGAAGUUUGAAAACCCAUUCUCCGGGAACGAGAGAGGAGGAGGAGGAAGAGAGAAAGAAAGAUGACACUGUGACGGGACACGGACAGGUACAAAUCUGACAGUAAUCUGCCUCUUCUCUUCUAAUCAUGCUGUCGGUGUGAGAGAUGAAGGCUGAGGUUUGGAGAUGGACAGCUCUGUGCUGUGAUGUUGGCUAAUGCUCUUUCAUUGUGCGGCAUUAACUGAUGAGAGAGCACCGGCACUCUGCUGAUUAACACAGCCCCGUUUCAAACUUCCUCAUCAAGAAGAAUAGAUUUGCCCCAGUCUGUCACCCCUUGUAUAAACUCUAGAUUUACGGGCUCACUUCACACUGUAUUUGUCAUAAGAAACGUAAGCUGUAAAAAGCUGUGAACUGACGUUAUUGUAAAACUCAACAGUCGCUGGAGGAUUCUGACACCCUCAACCUUAUUUUUCCCAAGUUCUUCUGCCUGUUGGAAGUGCUGCUUCAUCACAUUAGCAUCCUUUAAACGGAGAGUUCAGACUCUGAAUUCUAAUUGGACGAGCAGUAUAAAAUGCAGAUGAACUUGUACAUGACCUCACAGUUUAUUUUAAUGCAGCAGCACAAUACAUCGCUUGGCAACCAUAAACAGCCUAAUGAACUUUUUUACUUGCAAGAUUCUGAUUAUUUUUAAUGAAUAUAUUUUAAUAACUUAACAAUAACUAUUUAUAUGGACAAAAUUCUGAAUUUAAUUAUUGGUUCCCUUUUUCCUCUAAGAAGUGGAUUUGUGUGUGUGUAAUUGU